AACAAUAAACUCGGUGAAGAAGAAGAAGAAGAAAAAGAAAAAGAGGGGAGCAGAAAGCAUAGAAGAAGAAGGAGGAGCGGUAGUUGUCGGUAUCCUGCAGCCAGGUUCUGUUGGUGGUUCUGAGGUUCUGAUCCGGUCCGGACCUGCUCCUCUUCACAGGGUUAGCUUCACAGCUAGCUGACGCUUACAACAGGUGAACUUCACGCUCAACACGACUGGUUAACACGGUGACGUCAGCAGGCUUGACGUGACGUUACGUGGUAGCUGAGUUAAAGUUUGCUCAGUGACUGAGACGGUGUCGAUUUGUCCAGAUUAUUAGGAACACCUGGCUGAAGGAUGGAUGUGGCCCUCCAGCUCCUGGUCCUGCAGCAGCUGGCAGAGACCUGUGGGCUCAGCACGGUCCAGCAGGGCCUGCAGCAGGUCUGGAAGCUGCUGCUGCUCUGCCUGGUCUGCAGACUCUGCUUCAGGCUGGAGGGCGUGGACACGCUGAAGCAUGUGGUGUCGCUGCUGGCGGGGACGUACGCCCUCUUCCUGUUCUUUGAGCUGCACAUGCUGUGGGUGCUGCUACUGAGCGCGCUCUGUUACCUUGUCCUGCUGCUAGGCCGACACUUCAGCAGCAGGGGCCUCUUCCUCUCCAUGGUCAUCCUCGUCUACCUCCUCACCGGAGAGCUGCAUCUAAUCGACACGGCGACCUGGAACAGAAUCAGAGGCUCUCAGAUGGUGGUGGCCAUGAAGGCCAUCUCUCUGGGGUUUGACCUGGACAGAGGAGCCGUGGCCCACCUGCCCUCCUUGGCUGAGUUCCUGGGGUACGUCCUCUUUGUGGGCACCGUGGUCUUUGGCCCCUGGAUCAGCUUCUCCACGUAUCAGAGCGCCGUUGAAGGCAGGAAGCUGAGCUGGGCGUGGCUGAGGAGCUCCUCCCUCUGCCUCCUGAAGAGCCAGGUCUGCUUGCUGGUCUCCACCUGCAUCGCCCCGUACCUCUUCACACUGUUCAUCCCCAUCCAGGGAAACACCGUCACUCAGAGGUGGCUGCAGGCCUAUGAGAACGCAGCCUCCUUCCACUUCAGUAACUACUUUGUGGGUCACCUUAGUGAAGGAAGCAGCAUGCUGGCUGGAGCCGGCUGCUCCGAGGACAAGGACCACGUCAGGUGGGACCUGAGUGUGGUGAAGCCUCUCAGUGUGGAGUGUCCUCGCUCCAUGGUUCUGGUGGUGACGUCCUGGAACAUCCCCAUGUCCCGAUGGCUGAAGACCUACGUCUUUAGAAAUGCCAUGAAACUGGGGACCUUUCCAGCCAUCCUGGUGACGUACACAGCCAGCGCAUUACUGCACGGUCUGAGCUUUCACCUGGGAGCGGUUCUGCUCUCACUGGGCUUCAUCACAUACGUUGAGCACGUUCUGAGAAAGAAGCUCGCAUCCAUCUUCAGUGCCUGCAUCCUGUCCAGACCCUGCAGCUCAGACUGCAGCCAUCAGCACAAGAAGGUACAGCUCUACACAUCGAGAAACAGAACGAGGUCCAGGCUAAAGCUUCUUAAUGAAGGGGUCGCCGUCUGUCCUUCUGUCCUGGUCUGCAGAAAUACUGGGUAAUGUUGCUGAACCUGGUCUUCAGCUUCCUGGCCAUUUUCCACCUCACCUACCUGGGCUCUAUGUUUGAUCCUGGGGUCGACGAACAGGAAGUAGAAGAGGGUUACGCAGCCGUCCACACCAUCCAGAGGUGGUCUGAACUGAACUGGGCCAGCCACUGGAUCGUGUUUGCCAGCUGGGUCUUCUACCGGCUGAUUCAGUGACGCAGACGGCAGAAACCUGGAGGUGCAGCGUGAGGACGGGGUACCUGAUGGGGAGGGGGGGCGAGCUAGGUGUGAAGAUGGAGAUGACAGACCUGAUGGCAGACGGUCUCUGAUUCAUCUGGAAGGUUUGAGUCUGACUGGACUGAGAACAAAACGUCAGAGCUCCCAGCACACUAACAUCUUGUUCACUUACUCACUUUGGUCAGAACUGGUUCUUUUGGUGUUAAAGUCUGGAAACGUUUCAGUAUGUGAUGAGAGUUUUUACUGUGAUGGUUCAGGUGUUCCCUCUUUUUUACUUUUCCUAUUAAAUGUUUCUAUGUCACCGA